AGCCAACUGCAUCUGGAAAUCAUUGAGAAAGAAGAAAAUUAAAAUUGUCAUUUUUCUUUCACCAAACCUGUAGGUGCCGACUCCGUGGGUACUCCAGGGGCAGGGAAAAAUAGUGCGUUCACCACCCACCAGUCACCCCCCAGUCAGCUGUUUGUUCAUCCUGCAGAGUCUCUGAAAGAAGAAGAAAGUCAGUUAGUGCCGAUGCUGAUAUACCAGUGAGGAUCAGUAAGGAAACUUUAUUCAGAAGAAUACUGCCACUUCAACAGGACUGCUCCUGUGGGUUGUUGAGCCCCGGAGCACCCACGGAGCCAGUGUCUAUGCCUACACUGACAUUCCCCACGUUGAUAAUUCCAGAUAAGACAGUCCCCUCGUUCCUUACAUUUUACAAGAGCUGCGGGCCAGAUACCCAUCCUGUGUGUAUAUCAGCACAGGUGACUUCAAUGGAUCUGUGUUUAUUUUCAACCAGCUGAGGAUUUGGCCCCAUGGAUGAAAUGUGUUGUGCAGAGAGCCCAACACAAGAUACCACUGCUUCAGUGGAGGGUUGUGGUUUGGGCAAAAUGUCAUUGAGGAGCUAGGGAGAGAAUGUCAGAUACCUGCAGAAAACACUUAAGCUUGUUUAUUGCAGCCCCCACCUAAAACAUAGGGAUAUGCAAGUUUGCCCAGGAAUUAGAACUAUAUGGGCUGGUUACUGGGUGAGGGUGUGUGCGUGAAUCACACCGGAACAGGCUGGAAGAGACGCUACAGAUACACCCUGGACAAUCACGAUGUGGUACGUGCUAGAAGAGGCUUGGACAUAUGAGUAAAGAUACGAUCUUCUAUUGUUUGGAUCCUCCUGUGUUCAGGACUUGUAAAUGAACUAGAUUGCAUGAAAGGUCUCUGAUUCCACCCCCAAUUUCUCCUCCCAGCUGGAACGACCCACAAAGCCACAAAUGUUUUAGCUAGCUGCUUGGGCUAAAAGAAAUAACAUGGAGCGGUGGGGAUGAAUUCCCCCAUGGUGCACUCUCUUUUGUGUACCAAUCCCAAUAGCUUUGAAUGCAGCCAUCAUUCAGAAGUAGAGCUGGCUGGACAUUUUUCAAAUCAAAAUUCCCAUCCACGCCCCACACCCGGCCAUUCAGUUUUAUUUAUGUAUGUAUUUUGUGGGAGGAAAUGGCCACCAUUAUUGAGGUGUCUUAUUUUUGUGAUGCUGAUGGGUAAAGGCCUUCUCCUUCCAUGUCCAAGAGCUCAUGGCCCCAGCCUUACCUUGAG